rnacentral:misc_RNA from 1 species
GGAACUAAGGUUGUCUAUAUUGGAGAUGGAAAUAACAUAGUGCAUUCUUGGUUGCUACUUGCUUCAGUAAUUCCUUUCCACUUUGUAUGUGCUUGUCCAAAAGGUUUUGAACCUGAUGAAGAAACAGUUAAGAAAGCACAAGAUGCUGGAAUCAGCAAAAUCGAGAUAACUAAUGAUCCAAAGGAAGCAAUUAGAGGAGCUGAUGUUGUAUAUUCUGAUGUCUGGGCGAGUAUGGG